CAUUGCUCGAGCUGUUGUUGAUGAUAUUCUCCCUCCUGCCUUCUUGAACAAACAAGUUACCACUCUCCCGAAAGACUCGAAAGGAAUUCAAGUAAUAAAGAGAGCUGAGAAGAACUACUUAUCGGCCCCUCUUCAUGCUGAAGUUAUUGAAAGGAGGUGGGGAGGAAGCAAAAGCAAGACAGUAGAGGAUGCUAAGUCUAAAAUAAACGAUCUUCUUGUUGAGUACAUAGCAAGUGGUGAUAAGGUAGAGGCAUGUAGAUGCAUUAAAGACCUUAAAAUGCCAUUUUUCCAUCAUGAAAUUGUUAAAAGGGCUUUAAUCUUAGCGAUGGAAAGGAGAACAGCAGAGUGUGCUUUGCUAGAUUUAUUAAAGGAGGCCUCUGAAGAGGGAGUGAUAAACUCUAGUCAAGUAUUGAAAGGGUUUGAGCGGCUUAUCGAUACGGUAGAUGACUUAUCACUUGAUAUUCUUAGUGCAAGGGAUAUGCUUCAAUUACUUAUUUCCAAGGCAGCCUCAGAGGGGUGGCUCUGUGCAUCUUUGCUGAAGUCUCUCUCUCCUCGACCAAAUGGGUUUCUCGAAGAAGGCGAUGCAAGGGCCUUCAAGUCAAAGGCAAACUUGAUAAUUCAAGAGUAUUUCUUGUCAGGAGAUGUGGCCGAAGUGGCUGAGAGGCUCGAAUCCGAGAACCUCCUCUCCCCUUGCUUUAAGGUCAUAUUUGUAAAGAGGUUGAUUUCACUGGCAAUGGAUAGAAAGAAUAGAGAAAAGGAGAUGGCCUCAGUAUUAUUAUCUUCGCUAAAUUUUCCUUCAGACGAUGUGGUAAAUGGCUUUGUCAAUCUGAUUGAGGCGGCCGAGGACACCUCAUUGGACAUCCCAAUUGUGGUCGAGGAUUUGGCACUAUUUUUAGCGAGAGCAAUGGUAGACGAGGCCAUAGCUCCGCUAAAUUUAGAGGAGAUUGAGUCACAAGUGAAGCCCAACUCGAUUGGGUCUAAAGUUAUUCGAAUGACUCGAGCCAUGCUUGGGGCGCGGCUCUCAGGUGAGAGAAUAUUAAGGUGUUGGGGUGGAGAUGGUAGUGGAAGCAAUGGUCGAGAUAUAGAAGAAGUCAAGGGGAAAAUUGGGAAACUACUCGAGGAAUAUGAUUCGGGAGGAGGCGUAGGCGAGGCUUGUCGAUGCAUAAGAGAAGUAGGUAUGCCAUUUUUUCACCACGAAGUGGUGAAAAAGUCGUUGGUUAUGGCAAUGGAGAGGAAGAGUGAGAGACCAUUGAGGUUGCUUGAAGAGUGCUUUGCAGUGGGGUUGAUAUCGAGUUAUCAGAUGGCGAAGGGGUUUGCAAGAGUGGCUGAGGGCCUUGAGGAUUUGGCAUUGGAUGUGCCCGAUGUGGGCCAUGAGUUUGCGAGUUGCGUAGAGAGGGCCAAGGCUGCCGGGUGGUUGAACUAGUCAUUUGGGGUCGACCGUGACGACCCCAAUGGGCCUUGUGUCCCAGCAUAGAGAGAGCAGAGCAUGUUGCUGUGCCUAUGCAGCAACAGGCUUUGCUCAUGGGAGUUCAUGACCAAUUUCAUGGAUAUGGUUCUUAUUAGGUCUCUUAUCUUUUGCACUUUUUCUCUUUUUCUCCUCCUUGGGCCUUAGUUCUUUUCUAUUUUUAUUUAUUUAUUUUAACCACGAGGAGAAAACAAUCUCAAGGGUGAUGACACUGAUGAGCAAUGUACUAUUUAUAUCCACUUGGGCCAAAGUUUGGUGCUGUUCUUAUGAUUAAUUGCUCCCUAGAUGUUAAAUGGUGGGAGUCUUUUUGUUGUUUUUGGUGUAUUUUAUUGGGAUUAAUUUCAAUACUCUUGUAUUGAGAGAGUACAUGGGCCGAAAGCAGUUUAACUGGCUUAAUUGGUACACUACAGACUGAUUCAACUGUUCAACCUGACAAAUUCCGGAGGGUCAAAAAAUUGUUAAAAAAAUAAAAAGAUGUAAAUUCUAAUAAAAUAUAAAAACAUAUAAAAAAUGAUUAAAACAAAACACAUUCAAAUGAAAUUGAAAAUUAAUGAAAAAAAUAGAUUUUAAAAAUGAAUAUUAAUGAUCAAAAUAUUUACCAUAAUAUAAAAUAUAUUAAAAAAUAUAUUACAAAUCAAAUUCUUUAUUUUUUUUAAGCUCAACUUCUUUUAGAGAGCUCAAAUUCUUUUAGAGCUGUUGUGUGUAUGAGAGAGAACCACGGUAAUGAUGAGGUAGAGAGAGCAAUGUUUAAAAAAACUAUCUAAUGCUUGCCUAGGCGGCCUGAACCAAAAAUCUGCCAACCUAAAUUGGCACGGGCGGAGUACAUGGGCGGGCGCUACACGUGCGCCCGCCCGCCCACUCUGCGGGCCUAGAGAGCAGCUGCAUUAGACUGAAGACCUCAUCAAUUUUGAAAUCAUAUCAGGCAAAUAAGUGAGGCCAAUAGCAAUUGAUGUGAAUAACCAGGGGGUAAAAUAUCUUACCAGUUAGGCUAAUCACUCGUGAUAGAGAUUAAGGCUUUCACUUGUGAGCUAAGAAAAGCACAUGCAUUGCAUUGGCCUCAUAGCAUAUUUUCGUGAGAAAACGGUCUUAACAGAAGGCUUUUCAGAUUGCCCGCUUUUGCUGCUUCGUGAAUUUUUUUAGCACUCAUGAUCUCAGAAUUAUGAUCGACCAAACUGUUACCUUUCUCACCAUAGCUUCAUCAUCUGGGCUGAAGGUUUUGGAAUAUUUCAUUAGAAUUUGGGGUAUUCUGAUGAAGCAUUUAGGGUUUUGGGGGGGCCUUUGUGAUCACUGGUUAAAGACAUGGUUGAGGAGAAUGGCAGUAAGAAAAUUAACCCAAGUGAAAAAGUAGUCUUUGCAACGAGACCCAAACCCUGCCUCGAGAAAAAAAAAUUGCAAAACAAACGCUCUCGUACACCAAGUCAAAUAAAACCUCAAGAAAAAAAUUGCAAAUUUGUUUUUUUCCAUUUCUAAAAAAUUGUCUCUUUACAAAAACAACCCUAAUUUCCAAACUUCAAUAAAAAGCAGGUUUCUUAUUGAAAACUAGAAUACUAAGAAGCUUGAGUUAUCUUCAAAAAUUAGGGUGUUUGAAAUAGAAAACAACUGACCCAUUUGAAUCUUCAAAAAUUAGGGUGUGGGUGUUUGAAAUAGAAAACAACUGACCCAAUAGAAUAUAAAGAUAUUCAGAUCAGAACUCUGAAAUUUAAGAAGAAGAAUAUGAUGAUUUUUGAGAAAUUCGUACCUUUUCUGUUUCAAAUAGGAACGGUGAGAGAGAAAUGCGAGUAUAGCUGGCAGAAAAUUUGGGGGUUUCCAUGCUUUUCUUUCCCUCUAUAACCGUUGAAAAGACAUGACAGAGACGCGUCAGUUAGGGUUUUUCUUCUCUCCCCUUUCAGCCUUCUGGAGCAAGUCUUAGAAGCCCAAUUUUAGGAUGCAAUAUCAGCCUUUUCUCAGCACAAAUUUCAUUGAUGUAUAUACUCAUGCCAAUGUUUUGAAAUUCGGAUGAUCAGUCCCUACUUGAAUUGAUAGAAAUCCCCAAUAUAGUCACAUUUAACUGAUUCAUAGGCGUGAAAAAUCCACAUUAAAUUGAAAAAAAAAUUAUCAAA
rnacentral:lncRNA from 1 species